GCGUUCGUAGCUCAGAUGGAUAGAGCGACGGACUUCGAAUCCGUAGGUCGCAGGUUCGAGUCCUGCCGGACGCA
rnacentral:tRNA from 1 species